GAUGAACGCUGGCGGCGUGCCUAAUACAUGCAAGUCGAGCGAACGGACGAGAAGCUUGCUUCUCUGAUGUUAGCGGCGGACGGGUGAGUAACACGUGGAUAACCUACCUAUAAGACUGGGAUAACUUCGGGAAACCGGAGCUAAUACCGGAUAAUAUUUUGAACCGCAUGGUUCAAAAGUGAAAGACGGUCUUGCUGUCACUUAUAGAUGGAUCCGCGCUGCAUUAGCUAGUUGGUAAGGUAACGGCUUACCAAGGCAACGAUGCAUAGCCGCCCUGAAAGGGUAACCGGCCACACUGGAACUGAAACACGGUCCAGACUCCUACGGGAGGCAGCAGUAGGGAAUCUUCCGCAAUGGGCGAAAGCCUGACGGAGCAACGCCGCGUGAGUGAUGAAGGUCUUCGGAUCGUAAAACUCUGUUAUUAGGGAAGAACAUAUGUGUAAGUAACUGUGCACAUCUUGACGGUACCUAAUCAGAAAGCCACGGCUAACUACGUG
rnacentral:rRNA from 1 species